CUCGGGUCUGGCCAGUGGGAAGCAGGAAUCUCUGAACUCUGUCUGGCAUUGUCUUCCCAAACUUCUCACAUAUCUUUCCGGUUCUCUCUCUUCCAAUCUGGAGGAUCAUCCAGGCUGCAUUGGACAGUGAUAAUAAGCCAGAGGUUGGUUGCUUUGGAAAAAGUGAGGCAGCUCAACAAAUAAGAUGUGAGUUUUCACAGAAAUAAAAGGGGUCAAUAGUUACUCUUGGAGAUGAGGAGCAAAGGCACAUGCCUGCAUCUGUUCACAGCAUCCCGUGGUGGGUUCUGAGAUGCACCACUGCACAUGCCACAUGGUGGCUGAUGUGGAGGCCCCCUUCUUUCUCCAUUGUGGACUCUCAGAGACCGUGGUUGACUUAGGAAACUGAAACCAUGGACGAAGGAUUGCUGAAACCUCAACUGAGACAACUGCUGGGACAGUUUUGGCUAAAAGCACUGACUAAGGGCCUCGCUCAUCUGUGGACCAAAGUGAGCUUCCUAUAGGAAUAGACUUGGAUGCUGCAGCUUAGGGUGAGAGGGAGUAGCUGGGAGAAGAGGGAAGAGAAACACAUGCAAGGCAGGCGGACCCAUCGGCUGGUAGGAAAAGCUGUGUUCAGGAA
rnacentral:lncRNA from 1 species